GACGAACGCUGGCGGCGUGCUUAACACAUGCAAGUCGAACGGAAAGGCCCUGCUUUUGUGGGGUGCUCGAGUGGCGAACGGGUGAGUAACACGUGAGUAACAUGCCCUUGUCUUUGGGAUAACUUCAGGAAACUGGGGCUAAUACCGGAUAGGAUCUACUGCUGCAUGGUGGGGGUUGGAAAGUGUCGGCGGUUGGGGAUGGACUCGCGGCUUAUGCGCUUGUUGGUGGGGUAGUGGCUGACCAAGGCUUUGACGGGUAGCCGGCCUGAGAGGGUGACCGGCCACAUUGGGACUGAGAGACGGCCCAGACUGCUACGGGAGGCAGCAGUGGGGAAUAUGGCACAAUGGGCGGAAGCCUGAGACAGCAACGCCGCGUGCGUGAUGCCGGCCUUCGGGUGGUAAACCGCUUUCGCAGGUGACGAAGCGGGAGUGACGGUAAUGGGUAAAGAAGCACCGGCUAACUACGUG
rnacentral:rRNA from 1 species